ensembl:misc_RNA 7SK 7SK RNA
CAAUGUGAGGGCAAUCUGGCUGUGACAUCUGUCACCCCAUUGAUCGCCAGGGUUGAGUUGGCUGAUCUGAAAGGCUAGGCAGGUGUCCACCUCCUCCCUUACCCUUCCAUGUGUGUCCCUACAGAAGCUGCAUGCUGGGUAGAAGAGGACAACCAUCCCCGAUAGAGGAGGACCGUUCUUUGGGCAAUGGUAUGUGAGUAGCUGCGCUACCCUGCUAGAACCUCCAAACAAGCCCUCAAGAAAGCAUUUUUACUUUCUAUGGCUAUAGAUUGGAAAGAGGGAUAAUUGGUAUAAAUACUUUUUAAGAGUUUUUGUGAGAAACUACCUGGUUCA